AAGCCUAGACAACCUAUGAAAAAGUAAAGACAUUACUUUACCGACAAGGGUAUGUAAAGCUAAAACUAUGGUUUUUCUAGUAGUCAUGUAUGGAUGUGAGAGCUGGACCAUGAAGACGACUGAGUGUCAAAGAAUUGAUGCUUUUGAACUGUGGUGUUGGAGAAGACUCUUGCAAGUCCCUUGGGCUGCAAGGAGUUCAAACCAGUCAAUGCUAAAGGAAAUCAAUGAUUGGAAGGACUGAUGCUAAAGCUGAAGCUCCAAUACUUUGGCUAUCUGAUGGGAAGUGCUGACUCAUUAACAAAGACCAUGAUGCUGGGAAAGAUUGAAGGCAGGAGGAAAAGGGGACGACAGAGUACGAGAUGGUUGGAUGGCAUCACUGACUCAAUGGACAUGAGUUUGAACAAGCUCCAGGAGAUGGUGAAGGAUAAAGAAGCCAAGUGUGCUACAGUCCAUGAGGCAGAGAAGAGCCAGAGCAUCCUGGAAUUGGAAAUCCGCAGGUGGAUUACUGGUCUAGCAUGUGGUCCUACAGAGUGCUUAGGUAAGUCCUUCCCAGCUGAUGAAAACAGGACCCUGCCGUUGAAAGCUGUCACUGACCUGUCCAUCUGGACC